rnacentral:rRNA from 1 species
ACGCUCGACACCUACGGGAGGUAGCAGUGGGGAAUAUUGCACAAUGGGGGAAACCCUGAUGCAGCGACGCCGCGUGAAGGAAGAAGUAUCUCGGUAUGUAAACUUCUAUCAGCAGGGAAGAAAAUGACGGUACCUGACUAAGAAGCCCCGGCUAACUACGUGCCAGCAGCCCGGUAAUCUGAGCGGGCUGGCAAGGC